rnacentral:ncRNA from 1 species
UGUCUGUAAGUAUGCGCGGGCAAACCUUAAUUUUUUUAACUCGCAUAUUGGAGUAAUACAUCAUGGCACUAAGUGCACAAGAAAAAGCAGCAAUCGUCGCAGAACACG